AGUUAGGUUUAAUACUGACCACAGACUUAGGAUAAAUGAACUUGCUAAUAGAGUGAGAACAAGUAGGCAAAAGCAUUUUCCUUCUUCUACAUUCUUUGAUCUGGGCUGCCACAAGAAGAUUUGGCCCAGGUUUAGGGUGAGGAAGAAAGUCUGUGGAUUCCAUCAAAAUUUAUAAAGAUCCAAUCUGAAUAACAGAAGCUUCUACAUGAAAGAGAUCAAGAAACCUCAAGGAAGAUAGGAGGAAAACACAAAGAUUCCAGGAAGUGGCAUACCUGGAGCCUGGCAGGACCUGCACCAUGCUGUCUGUGUCAUUUGUUAUUGUUGGAUCCUCCCACGCC